GUUUUUUUAUGCACAUAGAUAUAGGAAGAUGUGGUGUGAGUGCCAAUAAGACAACUCUCUGGACAUCCAAAUUACAAUUUAAAAAAAGUAAACCAUUAUAGGUCACGUACGGCCUUCAACACAGAGCCUUGGCUCACACCAAACAACAAGCUAUAAAGGGCCCCAAAAUUACUAGUGUAAAACCAUUCAAACAGGAAAACCAACGGUCUAAUCUAUAUAUAUAUAUAAAAAACAAACCCAAGAAACAAGAAAC
rnacentral:lncRNA from 1 species